CGACAAAACCAGCCAUCCCCAUCCCCAGAUUUCCGUUGCUGACGUGGCAUUAACCGGCAGAAAAAACAGUUAGCUCCUCCUCUCUCUCUCUCAACAGAGAGAGACACCUCCCUUUCGCUCGCGUGUUCACCAAAAUUUUCAAAAUCAAGAAUUCGAGCUCAGAAUAACAAAACCAAAAAAAAAAAAAGAAAAAAAAAAAACCCAAAGCCAUUGACAUUGUCUCUCUCCAACGCUUUCCUCCUCACACCAUCCCCUUUUCGUUCUUCGAAUUCCCUUCGCCGCGGUUCCAACGACCCCAACUUCUCCCCAAACGGUUAGGUUUUUCGCGUCCUACUCGGAUUCCUUGGCCGCAGUUCCGGCGCCGUCGUGUUUCCCCCCACAUUGGCACCGUCGAGCCCUCUCCGCUAGGGAGAAUCCCUGGAAUUCCGAGGUUUCGGCGGCGGAACGUGUUUUCUAGGGUUUCUUUGGUGCUGAAAGUGGUGAACCGGAGGCGAAUUUCUCUUCUACGGUAGUGACGUUGAGCUAUGGGGUAGGCGAUUGAGCUUAGCUUCGCUUCGCUUCGUUGAUUUGAAAAAAGGGUUUUCAUGGGGAGAGGUUGGAGUUUGCUUUGUUAUGGUAUUGGUAUUUGUAUAUGUUGUUUUGUUUUGAGUCGUUGUUCUAAUGGGUGUUGGGUCCAUUCUUGGGAAGCGCCUCUUAUUGUUUCAACUUGAAUGGCUGAUCCUCAGAAAACGGCUCCUGGCGAGAGAAACAUCGAGCAGGCAAUUACAUCUCUUAAGAAAGGCUCAUAUCUGCUGAAGUACGGGCGAAGAGGGAAGCCGAAGUUCUGCCCAUUUAGGCUUUCCAAUGACGAGUCUCUACUCUUAUGGUACUCUGGCAAGGAAGAGAAACAGCUUAAGCUCAGUACGGUUUCAAGGAUCAUUCCUGGGCAGCGAACUGCAACAUUUCAGCGGUAUCCACGGCCUGAAAAGGAAUAUCAGUCAUUUUCUCUUAUAUACAAUGAUAGGUCCUUGGAUUUGAUAUGUAAGGAUAAAGAUGAAGCUGAAAUCUGGUUUGUUGGUCUUAAGGCAUUAGUUACUCGAGGUAACAACUGCAAGUGGAGAUUGGAAUCAAGAACUGAUGACAGUUUGUAUUAUGAUAGUCCAAAUUCUGGCACACGAAGAUCCACUCCAUCAUUCUCUGACCCUGGAGAUGCUGGCGGAGGUGCUUUUGAUUUGCAAAAUAGAUGGGUAAAGGCUUUCUCUGAAAUAAUUUCUUACACUGCAGCUAGUAAGAGUUCCAGCCAAGCUGAAUCACUUGCAAAUUCCUCUUUAUCCUCUGGGUCUGUGGAUAACUCAAGCAAUCGAAAUUCUGCAUCUGAGGCAUUUCGAGUUAGUUUAUCUAGUGCUGUAAGUUCCUCCAGCCAGGGUUCUUAUCAUGAAGAUUUUGAUUCCAUAGGUGAUGUUUUUAUUUGGGGAGAAGGUAUCGCCGAUGGAAUUCUUGGUGGUGGUGUACAUAGAGUUGGAGCCUUAUCUAGUUCUGAGAUGGAUGCAUUCCUUCCCAAGGCACUAGAAUCAAAGUUAGUUCUAGAUGUUCAUAGUAUUGGUUGUGGCUACAGACAUGCUGUUAUAGUUACCAAGCAGGGAGAUAUAUUUAGUUGGGGAGAGGAGUCAGGAGGUAGGCUUGGACAUGGUGUUGAAAUGGAUGUUUUUCACCCGAAGCUCAUUGACACUCUUGGUGGCGUGAAUAUCGAGUUAGUAGCAUGUGGAGAAUAUCAUACGUGCGCUGUUACUUAUUCUGGGGAUCUUUAUACAUGGGGUGAUGGUACGCACAAUUCUGGCAUGCUUGGGCAUGGAAAUGAAGUCAGUCACUGGAUUCCCAAGAAAGUAAGUGGUAACUUGGAGGGUUUACGUGUAUCAUAUGUGUCCUGUGGACCUUGGCACACAGCUAUUGUUACAUCAGCUGGGCAGUUGUUCACAUUUGGUGAUGGAACUUUUGGUGCCUUGGGACAUGGAGAUCUUAGUAGCGCAAAUAUUCCUCGGGAAGUAGAAACUUUGAAAGGGUUGAGAACAACCAGGGUUGCCUGUGGUGUUUGGCACACUGCUGCAGUUGUUGAGGUGGUAAAUGAAUCUGUGGAAUCUUCUACACGCUCAUCUAAUGGAAGACUGUUCACCUGGGGUGAUGGAGAUAAAAGCCAACUUGGACAUGCUGAUAGGGAACCUAGACUAGUUCCUGAGUGUGUAAAUGCAUUGAGUACUGAAAACAUUUGCCGAGUGGCUUGUGGCCACAGUCUUACAAUUGCUUUGACAACGUCAGGACUUGUAUAUACAAUGGGAAGUACAGCACAUGGACAACUUGGCUGUCCUGCAUCUGAUGGGAAAGUCCCUACACGUGUUGGAGAUAAAAUUGCUGAUAGUUUUGUAGAAGAUAUUGCCUGUGGUUCAUAUCAUGUUGCAGUCCUGACUUCCAAGGCAGAGGUUUACACAUGGGGAAAGGGUUUGAAUGGGCAAUUAGGUCAUGGAGACAGUGAUCACAGGAAUAAACCUGCACUUGUUGAGUUCUUAAAAGAUAAACAAGUGAAAAGUGUUUUUUGUGGUUCAAACUUUACUGCUGUUGUAUGUCUUCAUAAAUGGAUACCAAGUGUUGAUCAUUCUACUUGUGUUGGAUGUCGCAAUCCAUUUAAUUUCAGAAGAAAACGUCAUAAUUGUUACAACUGUGGACUUGUGUUUUGCAAAUCAUGCACCAGCAAGAAGUCUAUAAAAGCUUCCCUUGCUCCCAGUUCCAACAAGCCGUAUCGAGUCUGUGAUGACUGUUAUCUUAAACUUAAGAAAGCUGCCGCUGAAUCAGUACCCUCGGUGCAAACUCCUAGCUUGAGAAGUGUAAGUUUGCAAGACAAUAGAAUCACUAAAGUACAGGGAACACUAUUAAGGCUUGCAUCUUUUGGCUCUAUUAUUCAAACAGAAAGUAGUCAAUCAAAGCUUCCAGAUUCACAAGAUAGCCAUCUUUUCCCAGCUUUAAAUGGAAAACCACUGAUGAGGGGUUUUGCUCCUUCAAAAUCAUCAAAUUCUCUUUCUAUUGAUUCCAAGAAACACCUUUCAGUUUCUGAGCCUUCUGCAAGAAUAUCUUGUCAAUCAACAUCAUCAGUUUCAUCAAAGUCAAGUCCAAGACAAUCUUAUGAAGAUAUAAAUGACCAUUUAAAGCACAGAAAUGAUAUUUUAAGUCAAGAAGUUAUAAGUUUAAGGACACAGGUUGAAGACCUUACUCACAAGUCAAAAAGUUUAGAGGCUGAACUUGAGAGAACAUCAAAGCAAUUGAAGGAAGUGACUGCAGUAGCUGCAGAUGAAGCUGGAAAGUGUAAAUCAGCAAAAGAGAUCAUAAAGUCAUUGACUGCACAGUUGAAAGAAAUGGUGGAAAGACUGCCAGAAGGACAUAAUACUGACUCCAGUACAGAGCCCUAUGCUGAAAACAGUAGUAGUAUUCUGCAUCAUUCCUUAGAUGAGAGCCAUAUAAGAAACACGGUCAUUCCCAAAAAUGAAGGCAGCAGCAAUGUAUCAAAUCUGAUAUUAGCUAAUGGUGCCAAAACACAAAGUGUAAAGGCAGAGUGGGUAGUGCAAGAUGAACCAGGUGUGUAUGUAAGUUUGUCCUCACAGCCAGGUGGUGGUAAUGAGCUUAGGCGUGUUCGCUUCAGUCGAAGGCAUUUCACAGAAGAACAAGCUGAAAAGUGGUGGGCUGAAAAUGGAACGAAAAUAUUGGAGCGGCACAAUAUAGUUGCUUUAUAGAAUGCAAGAGAAUCUGUUCCCUGAAGCAAAAACUCAUCCUUCUUCUGUGACGCUAUGGAAACAAUCAUCAUUGGUCAUCGGAAGAGACUGAAAACACUUCAGAUGUGCCAAUUUGUGAUUAGAAUCUGUCCUAAAUCCUGCAGAGAGAAAGGUUUUUAAUGGCAAAGGUUGGAAAAAUGGCGAUGACUGCUCAAAGCGCAUCUUCAUGGGAGCAAGUAGCAAAAGUACCAUCCAAGAACAUGUUCUCCAAUACAACAUUUUUCUUCCUCAAGUUCGAUGCCUUCCUAGAAUCCCAUGGCCUUAUCUUGAGUUUUUCUACUUCACUCUCCUUGUGUGCCCCUCAGGAUUUUGCCGUCAAUGGAAACCGAUGGUUUAAGUCACAUUCUUCCUAAACCUAAGUCUUCAAGCUCUGGUCCAAAUUCUCUGAUUUUGGGGAAGCACUAAGUGAUGGAGACAGGAUUAAACAAAGAUUGCAUAAAUAACCAUAAAAAGGGGAACUAGGUGUGUUUAAGCUCCUAAAACCUUGACAAUUAAUGAUCCAAGGAAAGCUGAAAAGAGUUAUAUAUGUCAACUAUUUGGAUUAAGAACAAACGAGUCAGUGGGAGAGGUAUAUUCAAAGCAGGAUGUGCUGAAACCUCUGAAGUUAUGGGCUAAAUUUGGGGCUUGCUGUGGGCCAAUAAAUUUUUGGGUUGGACUAUGCUGCCAUGGGUUUAAUUAAAGGGCCCCGCGCCCUUAAAAAUUCAAGCUACACCCGGAAAUUACAACCUGUCUAAUUUAAGGGCAUUUUGUUAGCUCUUUGCAUUUCAGCUUAUCACAGGCUAUACAGGUUGACACAAAUUCAUUUUUUUUCUUUUGUUUUUAUGACAUUUUUAAUUAUUAAUUCGAAUCUUCGUUUUCCUCAA